UACGUAGGGAGCGAGCGUUGUCCGGAAUUACUGGGUGUAAAGGGAGCGUAGGCGGGGUCUCAAGUCGAAUGUUAAAUCUACCGGCUCAACUGGUAGCUGCGUUCGAAACUGGGGCUCUUGAGUGAAGUAGAGGCAGGCGGAAUUCCUAGUGUAGCGGUGAAAUGCGUAGAUAUUAGGAGGAACACCAGUGGCGAAGGCGGCCUGCUGGGCUUUUACUGACGCUGAGGCUCGAAAGCGUGGGGAGCAAACAGG
rnacentral:rRNA from 1 species